GGCUCGUUGCACCGGUCCGCCGAAAGGUGUGCUACUGGUCGCGGUGAGUCUUACCUUCUGGCUAGCUGGCGUGCCUCUAAUAGGGUGCGUCAGUGAUCCAGGACUUUUACCUUGAAAAAAUUAGAGUGUUUAAAGCAGGCUUACGCUUGAAUACAUUAGCAUGGAAUAAUAGAAUAGGACUUUGGUUCUAUUUUGUUGGUUUCUAGGACUGAAGUA
rnacentral:rRNA from 1 species